GGAUGCUUACCCUUGAUUGUAGCGGCCAGCACGAGCCUCCACCGAUGCCACGCUCGUCCGUGGAGUGCUGAAUCGGCUCAGGUUCGCCAAGAAUCAUCCGGCGAGGAUCAGGUGGAUCAUGAACAGAAAGUCCUGUUCGAAUGUAAUUCUUCUCCUUGCGAAUCACAUCGCAGAAGGUUGCUUGGCAUUGAGCAGGCCAUUGUAGAGAAGGUAGCCGGACAGUUUGUCAUACUCUGACAGCAUGCAAAACUGUGUUCAAGCUCUAUACGUACGAGCGAGCGACAACAAGAAUGAAAAACCUUUGAGGUUCUGUCAACAACACGAAAUUUCAAAGAACAUUGUUCUUUUAUAUAUAUAUAUAUUUCUCACUUCUAUUUUUUUUGUCAUAAUACUUGAGAGCACAAAUUCGUAGAACAUAGCCUCAUGCCAUUCUGACAAACUGAAGAUGCCCCUUACCAUUCAGUUCCCCGCUGAGGAACGCUUCAAGGAGCUCUGCCAUAGAGAUCUCCUUGUACAAACGUGGCAUUUCUUCCGAGGUAAUUGGCUUUAACUUCCUGUCGCGGCCAGGACCGUAAAAUGUUGCAAUGGAGAUCCGAGAGUAUUCCUUAUUAACGACAGCUCUGUGCUCCACGCUCUUGUAAGCUCCAUCCGUUAGUAUCUGGGACGCGACAAACACCAAUUUGUCAAUUCUUGCACCAUAGGUUUAAGUUUUAACUAUGAACCAAAGCUGAAAAUCUUGCACACACCUCAAUCGUGUCUCCAACAUUCACCACCAACGCGUCUGGGAUGAACCUGACGCUCCUCCACUGCCCGUUUUUCAUAACCUGCAGGCCUUCCACCUCAUCUUGGAGCAAAACGGUAAGACCCACGACAUCAGAGUGAGGGCUGAGUCCAAUCACAAGCUCUGGCUGUGGACAAGGCGGAUAAUAGUUCAGCCUGAUCGCAUAAUGAGGACUGGGACCGAAAGCUUCAGAGAAGAAACUAGCACGUUGCCCCAAUGCCUCUGCCAUGCAUUGUAGCAGUUUGAUUGCCAGAGGCCGUAUCUCCUGGCCGUACUCUUCCACGACUUUCCUAUAGAGUGGAAUUCAGAACGACGCUGAAAGUUCUCAAGAAUGUUACCUGUACUCUGGAGGAUUGCUUGGCCAAUUUCUUAUGGGAGGAAGAAAAUGAUAAACAGAAUCGCCCCAGUCGAGCACAGUCUCCUCCGAAGGAACGAAGAAUCUUCCGUAUCCUUCCUGGCUGGCUAGAGAUGGUGCAUCAGAGCGAAUAGCAUAUGCUUCCCUCUGCUCCCGGGGCAACCGGAAAAAGUCCCUCACAGUCUUCCUCACCUGUUUAAGCAACUCCGGAGGGAUGCCAUGUCCAAUCAGCUGAACCAGAUGUUAGUCAUGGAUUUUUGAGCAGAUCUCACCUGGAAAAAUCCCCAAUCUCGGCAAGCGCUGUCGAGCUUAGCGAUGCCUUCAGCUGUGUCAAGCUCUGCUACGUGAAUAACUGGAACCUCACCAUCUUCCGUCCUUGCUGCAGAGAAUGACCGCUCUUCCGCUGGCUUCACAAAUCGCUGAGGCACUUCAUCAAUGCCAGACUCAACCAAAUCCUGAACCAUGGGAAGCCCCCCAUCCUUUGGAUCAAGCCCCAUUUUACCAAUUCUCCUGCUUCUCCUGCUUAUCCUUCAUACAAGCCGCCUUUGCCAUUGCAAAGAAGCUUCCUUGCGAAGAAUUUUUGUACCAGUUUGGACACAUGUUUCCAGAAACAAGACUUAAAGGUGCUGAGCUUGUAUAAAGCUAAAAGAGCUUUAAUGCAAGUUGAUCAAGAGAGUUCCAUGGGAGGACAUCUUAAAGGUCAAGGAUUCUCCUAUUGCUUUUGAGGCAUGGCACACAUUGCAGCACUACUACUGUGGAAAAUGGAGAUGAACAUCUUUCACUAAAUGGGUAAUUGUCCAUAAGGAAUAGAGGAGAAAGGGAUGAUGGUGUUGGGAGAUAAAGUUGUAGAAUAUGAAGUCAUCCUUUCCAAAUGUUACUGGGGUGCUGAUGAUUUCCAAGUUGAACGAAUGAUACUAGAAAGCAAAAGUAGAUUUGCAUAUUUCAUGCUUGAUAGUGCUGUAUAUUUGUGAUCAAUUGAUCCAAACUGGAACAUACACAAAUUAAUUUGUAAUAGAGUGUCUAAAUGUUUCAAUGAUAGUUUUUUUUUUACUAUGAGCAUUUCCCUUUAUGAUAUUGACUUACUAUCAAAUAAAUUUUCACCCUAGUUAAUAAUCAUAUUUGAUCAUAUAGUUUAUGAGAAAAUUCAUCUUUUGGGAGAAGAACAUUAAUGAAAAAGGCACCAAAGAUUAAAAGGAUGAAGAAGCAAUUGCAAUACAAAUGGCAAGAUGUUUAUUGUACAUGUGUCCAAAAAUGAUUUUGGACAUAAUAUUUCUGGUGCUGGAGUUGCAAAUUCUGCAGAUUGAGGAUGCUUACCCUUUAUUGUAGCGCCCAGCACGAGCCUCCACCAAUGCCACGCUCGUCCGUGGAGUGCUGAAUCGGCUCAGGUUCGCCAAGAAUCAUCCGGCGAGGAUCAGGUGGAUCAUGAACAGAAAGGUCAUCAAGGCCAAAAAAACUGUUCAUCCUUAUUCCACCUUAUGGAGAGACGCAAGAUUUAAAGGAUUAGAAACUCAUUU
rnacentral:lncRNA from 1 species